rnacentral:rRNA from 1 species
UUCUUCCUACGGGGCGCAGCAGUGAGGAAUAUUGGUCAAUGGGCGCGAGCCUGAACCAGCCAAGUCGCGUGAGGGAAGACGGUCCUAUGGAUUGUAAACCUCUUUUGUCGGGGAGCAAACGACGCCACGCGUGGCGUUCCGAGAGUACCCGAAGAAAAAGCAUCGGCUAACUCCGUGCCAGCAGCCGCGGUAAUACGGAGGGAGCGAGCGUUGUCCGGAAUUACUGGGUGUAAAGGGAGCGUAGGCGGGACGGCAAGUCAGAUGUGAAAAUUGAGGGCUCAACCCUCAGCCUGCAUUUGAAACUG